AUUGAACGCUGGCGGCAGGCCUAACACAUGCAAGUCGAGCGGAUGAAGGGAGCUUGCUCCUGGAUUCAGCGGCGGACGGGUGAGUAAUGCCUAGGAAUCUGCCUGGUAGUAGGGGAUAACGUCCGGAAACGGGCGCUAAUACCGCAUACGUCCUGCGGGAGAAAGUGGGGGAUCUUCGGACCUCACGCUAUCAGAUGAGCCUAGGUCGGAUUAGCUAGUUGGUGGGGUAAAGGCCUACCAAGGCGACGAUCCGUAACUGGUCUGAGAGGAUGAUCAGUCACCCUGGAACUGAGACACGGUCCAGACUCCUACGGGAGGGAGCAGUCAGGAAUAUUGGGCAAUGGGCGAAAGCCUGCUCCAGCCAUGCCGCGUGUGUGAAGAAGAUCUUCGGAUUGUAAAGCACUUUAAGUUGGGAGGAAGGGCAGUAAGUUAAUACCUAGCUGUUUUGACGUUACCAACAGAAUAAGCACCGGCUAACUUCGUG
rnacentral:rRNA from 1 species